GAUGAACGCUAGCGGCAGGCCUAAUACAUGCAAGUCGGACGGGAUUGAAGAGCUUGCUUUUCAUGAGAGUGGCGCACGGGUGCGUAACACGUAUGUAACCUACCCAUAUCAGGGGGAUAGCCUCUCGAAAGAGAGAUUAAGCCCGCAUAAAAUCACAGUACAGCAUUGUAUAAUGAUCAAAUAUUUAUAGGAUAUGGAUGGGCAUGCGGAACAUUAGCUAGUUGGUAAGGUAACGGCUUACCAAGGCUACGAUGUUUAGGGGAUCUGAGAGGAUGACCCCCCACACUGGUACUGAGACACGGACCAGACUCCUACGGGAGGCAGCAGUAAGGAAUAUUGGUCAAUGGGCGGAAGCCUGAACCAGCCAUGCCGCGUGCAGGAAGAC
rnacentral:rRNA from 1 species